rnacentral:rRNA from 1 species
GGGAACGUACCUUUUGGUUCGGAACAACACAGGGAAACUUGUGCUAAUACCGAAUGUGCUCUUCGGAGGAAAGAUUUAUCGCCAUUAGAGCGGCCCGCGUUGGAUUAGGUAGUUGGUGUGGUAAAGGCGCACCAAGCCUACGAUCCAUAGCUGGUCUGAGAGGAUGAUCAGCCACACUGGGACUGAGACACGGCCCAGACUCCUACGGGAGGCAGCAGUGGGGAAUCUUGCGCAAUGGGCGAAAGCCUGACGCAGCCAUGCCGCGUGAAUGAUGAAGGUCUUAGGAUUGUAAAAUUCUUUUAGCAGGGACAAUAAUGACGGUACCUGCAGAAAAAGCCCCGGCUAACUUCGUGCCAGCAGCCGCGGUAAUACGAAGGGGGCUAGCGUUGCUCGGAAUUACUGGGCGUAAAGGGAGCGUAGGCGGGUUACCAAGUUGGGGGUGAAAGCCCAGGGCUCAACCCUGGAAUUGCCUUCAAAACUGGUAACCUUGAGGAUGGAAGAGGUAAGUGGAACUCCGAGU